AGCGAACGCUGGCGGCAGGCCUAACACAUGCAAGUCGAACGGAUCCUUCGGGAUUAGUGGCGGACGGGUGAGUAACACGUGGGAACGUGCCCUUUGGUUCGGAACAACUCAGGGAAACUUGAGCUAAUACCGGAUGUGCCCUUCGGGGGAAAGAUUUAUCGCCAUUGGAGCGGCCCGCGUCUGAUUAGCUAGUUGGUGAGGUAACGGCCCACCAAGGCGACGAUCAGUAGCUGGUCUGAGAGGAUGAUCAGCCACACUGGGACUGAGACACGGCCCAGACUCCUACGGGAGGCAGCAGUGGGGAAUCUUGCGCAAUGGGCGAAAGCCUGACGCAGCCAUGCCGCGUGAAUGAUGAAGGUCUUAGGAUUGUAAAAUUCUUUCAGCGGGGACGAUAAUGACGGUACCCGAAGAAGAAGCGCCGGCUAACUUCGUG
rnacentral:rRNA from 1 species